rnacentral:rRNA from 1 species
UGUUGCAGUUAAAAGCUCGUAGUCGAACCUUGGGUCUGGCUGGCCGGUCCGCCUCACCGCGAGUACUGGUCCGGCUGGACCUUUCCUUCUGGGGAACCUCAUGGCCUUCACUGGCUGUGGGGGGAACCAGGACUUUUACUGUGAAAAAAUUAGAGUGUUCAAAGCAGGCCUUUGCUCGAAUACAUUAGCAUGGAAUAAUAGAAUAGGACGUGCGGUUCUAUUUUGUUGGUUUCUAGGACCGCCGUAAUGAUUAAUAGGGAUAGUCGGGGGCGUCAGUAUUCAGCUGUCAGAGGUGAAAUUCUUGGAUUUGCUGAAGACUAACUACUGCGAAAGCAUUCGCCAAGGAUGUUUUCAUUAAUCAGGGAACGAAAGUUAGGGGAUCGAAGACGAUCAGAUACCGUCGUAGUCUUAACCAUAAACUAUGCCGACUAGGGAUCGGACGGGAUUCUAUGAUGACCCGUUCGGCACCUUACGAGAAAUCAAAGUUUUUGGGUUCUGGGGG